AGGUUUUGAUGAGGCGCAUCAAUCAUUAGUAAAGAUUAGAAGAAUCUGACUGCUAGCAGCUAAUUUUGAAAGGGUGAGAUGCCGAAACGGUUAUAAUAGCAGCUUAUAACAUGUUGGACUUUAUGGUUAAGAGCUAAGAGUCUGUCAUUAUUUUAAGAUAAUGGAGUGCAUCACUUGUA
rnacentral:ncRNA from 23 species